rnacentral:rRNA from 1 species
UACGAAGGGGGCUAGCGUUGUUCGGAAUCACUGGGCGUAAAGCGCACGCAGGCGGAUCGUUAAGUCAGGGGUGAAAUGCCGAGGCUCAACCUCGGAACUGCCUUUGAUACUGGCGAUCUUAGAGUCCGGAAGAGGAGAGUGGAAUUCCUGGUGUAGCGGUGAAAUGCGCAGAUAUCAGGAAGAACACCCGUGGCGAAGGCGGCUCUCUGGGACGGUACUGACGCUGAGACGCGAAAGCGUGGGGAGCGAACAGG